rnacentral:rRNA from 1 species
GAUGAACGCUGGCGGCGUGCCUAACACAUGCAAGUCGAACGGAGAUAUGUAACGGAAGUUUUCGGAUGGAAGAUGCAUAUCUUAGUGGCGGACGGGUGAGUAACGCGUGGGUAACCUGCCGUAUACAGGGGGAUAACACCUGGAAACAGGUGCUAAUACCGCAUAAGCGCCCGGUAUCGCAUGAUACCGAGUGAAAAGCCGAGACGGUAUACGAUGGACCCGCGUCUGAUUAGCCAGUUGGCAGGGUAACGGCCUACCAAAGCGACGAUCAGUAGCCGGCCUGAGAGGGUGGACGGCCACAUUGGGACUGAGACACGGCCCAA